rnacentral:sRNA from 1 species
UGCUGGUCUGAUGGUAGUGGGUUAUCAGAAAAACUCUUAAUGUUAGUGUCACUAAAGCUGAUAAACAAUCUUCCCCCCACCUUUGCUGGAUUUGACUGGUAAGAA